CCUGGCUCAGGACGAACGCUGGCGGCGUGCUUAACACAUGCAAGUCGAACGGAAAGGCCUAGCUUGCUAGGUACUCGAGUGGCGAACGGGUGAGUAACACGUGGGUGAUCUGCCUCGUACUUCGGGAUAAGCCUGGGAAACUGGGUCUAAUACUGGAUAGGACCAUGCUUUAGUGUGUGUGGUGGAAAGUUUUUUCGGUACGAGAUGAGCCCGCGGCCUAUCAGCUUGUUGGUGGGGUAAUGGCCUACCAAGGCGUCGACGGGUAGCCGGCCUGAGAGGGUGGACGGCCACAUUGGGACUGAGAUACGGCGCAGACUCCUACGGGAGGCAGCAGUGGGGAAUAUUGCACAAUGGGCGCAAGCCUGAUGCAGCGACGCCGCGUGGGGGAUGACGGCCUUCGGGUUGUAAACCUCUUUCGCUAGGGACGAAGCUUUUGUGACGGUACCUAGAUAAGAAGCACCGGCUAACUACGUGCCAGCAGCCGCGGUAAUACGUAGGGUGCGAGCGUUGUCCGGAAUUACUGGGCGUAAAGAGCUCGUAGGUGGUUUGUCGCGUCGUCUGUGAAAUUCCGGGGCUUAACUUCGGGCGUGCAGGCGAUACGGGCAUAACUUGAGUGCUGUAGGGGAGACUGGAAUUCCUGGUGUAGCGGUGGAAUGCGCAGAUAUCAGGAGGAACACCGAUGGCGAAGGCAGGUCUCUGGGCAGUAACUGACGCUGAGGAGCGAAAGCAUGGGGAGCGAACAGGAUUAGAUACCCUGGUAGUCCAUGCCGUAAACGGUGGGCGCUAGGUGUGAGGGUCUUCCACGACUUUCGUGCCGUAGCUAACGCAUUAAGCGCCCCGCCUGGGGAGUACGGCCGCAAGGCUAAAACUCAAAGGAAUAGACGGG
rnacentral:rRNA from 1 species